UACAGAGGGGGCAAGCGUUAUUCGGAAUUACUGGGCGUAAAGCGCGUGUAGGCGGGUCUUUAAGUCAGGGGUGAAAUGCCAAGGCUCAACCUUGGAACUGCCUUUGAUACUGGAGACCUUGAGUCCGGGAGAGGUGAGUGGAAUUGCGAGUGUAGAGGUGAAAUUCGUAGAUAUUCGCAAGAACACCAGUGGCGAAGGCGGCUCACUGGCCCGGAACUGACGCUGAGAUGCGAAAGCGUGGGGAGCAAACAGG
rnacentral:rRNA from 1 species